CACGUAAGGGGCAAGCGUUGUUCGGAAUUACUGGGCGUAAAGGGCUCGUAGGCGGCCAACUAAGUCAUACGUGAAAUCCCUCGGCUUAACCGGGGAACUGCGUAUGAUACUGGAUGGCUUGAGUCCGGGAGAGGGAUGCGGAAUUCCAGGUGUAGCGGUGAAAUGCGUAGAUAUCUGGAGGAACACCGGUGGCGAAGGCGGCAUCCUGGACCGAUACUGACGCUGAGGAGCGAAAGCGUGGGGAGCAAACAGG
rnacentral:rRNA from 1 species